rfam:Nelumbo nucifera unplaced genomic scaffold scaffold00043, whole genome shotgun sequence
GGGGAUGUAGCUCAAAUGGUAGAGCGUUUGCUUAUCUUGCGAGAAGUACGAGGUUCAAUACCCCGCAUCUCUA